GAUGAACGCUAGCUACAGGCUUAACACAUGCAAGUCGAGGGGCAGCAUGGUCUUAGCUUGCUAAGGCCGAUGGCGACCGGCGCACGGGUGAGUAACACGUAUCCAACCUGCCGUCUACUCUUGGACAGCCUUCUGAAAGGAAGAUUAAUACAAGAUGGCAUCAUGAGUCCACAUGUUCACAUGAUUAAAGGUAUUCCGGUAGACGAUGGGGAUGCGUUCCAUUAGAUAGUAGGCGGGGUAAUGGCCCACCUAGUCUUCGAUGGAUAGGGGUUCUAAGAGGAAGGUCCCCCACAUUGGAACUGAGACACGGUCCAAACUCCUACGGGAGGCAGCAGUGAGGAAUAUUGGUCAAUGGGCGAGAGCCUGAACCAGCCAAGUAGCGUGAAGGAUGACUGCCCUAUGGGUUGUAAACUUCUUUUAUAAAGGAAUAAAGUCGGGUAUGCAUACCCGUUUGCAUGUACUUUAUGAAUAAGGAUCGGCUAACUCCGUGCCAGCAGCCGCGGUAAUACGGAGGAUCCGAGCGUUAUCCGGAUUUAUUGGGUUUAAAGGGAGCGUAGAUGGAUGUUUAAGUCAGUUGUGAAAGUUUGCGGCUCAACCGUAAAAUUGCAGUUGAUACUGGAUAUCUUGAGUGCAGUUGAGGCAGGCGGAAUUCGUGGUGUAGCGGUGAAAUGCUUAGAUAUCACGAAGAACUCCGAUUGCGAAGGCAGCCUGCUAAGCUGCAACUGACAUUGAGGCUCGAAAGUGUGGGUAUCAAACAGGAUUAGAUACCCUGGUAGUCCACACGGUAAACGAUGAAUACUCGCUGUUUGCGAUAUACAGCAAGCGGCCAAGCGAAAGCGUUAAGUAUUCCACCUGGGGAGUACGCCGGCAACGGUGAAACUCAAAGGAAUUGACGGGGGCCCGCACAAGCGGAGGAACAUGUGGUUUAAUUCGAUGAUACGCGAGGAACCUUACCCGGGCUUAAAUUGCAGAUGAAUUACGGUGAAAGCCGUAAGCCGCAAGGCAUCUGUGAAGGUGCUGCAUGGUUGUCGUCAGCUCGUGCCGUGAGGUGUCGGCUUAAGUGCCAUAACGAGCGCAACCCUUGUUGUCAGUUACUAACAGGUUCCGCUGAGGACUCUGACAAGACUGCCAUCGUAAGAUGUGAGGAAGGUGGGGAUGACGUCAAAUCAGCACGGCCCUUACGUCCGGGGCUACACACGUGUUACAAUGGGGGGUACAGAGGGCCGCUACCACGCGAGUGGAUGCCAAUCCCAAAAACCUCUCUCAGUUCGGACUGGAGUCUGCAACCCGACUCCACGAAGCUGGAUUCGCUAGUAAUCGCGCAUCAGCCACGGCGCGGUGAAUACGUUCCCGGGCCU
rnacentral:rRNA from 1 species